rnacentral:lncRNA from 1 species
AGGUUGGGGGCUGGGGACAUGCCAGGCCAGGACCUGCAACAGAAACCGCCGCCCCACCUUUCCUUUCUGUGCCCCACCCCAUCCUGCCUAAAAAGUUGCUUUCCAUGAGGGCUUGGUGCUGAGUGUGGCCCCCACAGGGAUGUCUGUGUGGUCACAGAGUACCUGUGGGAGGGCAAUUCUGACCCCAAGGUAGGAAGCAGUGAUCCGGUAAUUCCAGGCACCAAGGCAGAUAAAAAGACCAAGCCACAGCCUCCUCAAGAAGUUUGAAGUCUGCAUUGAACUCAUUAAUUUCCAGCUUUUGGCCGGGCGUGGUGGCUCAUGACUAUAAUUCCAGCACUUUAGGAGGCCAAGAUGGGGCCCAUGAGUGAGGAGGACAAGAGAGAAAGGAGAAGUUUGGGUGUAAAUCCCAGAGAUUGUUCAUCAUGUGAGAGGAGCCGUGCAUGCAUUUCAUGCCAUACUCACACCAUGGAUGGAGAAAAAAAAUCAAGCUUCACUUUCUGAGAAUGGCCCUGGGGGCACUGCAUCUAGUGCCUGUGCAUCUGCAGACCUGCCGGAUGCCUCCAGGGGAAUCAUGCCACCCCAAGCAAGAAAGGGCCCAGUUGCCAGGAGCCUGGAGGCAGAGAGCUGAGGAGCCAGCCCCUGACAUCAGAAUGGAGCUCAAAGGUUGGCUGGGUGUGACUCUGCCGUGGACAGCUUCUCUUGGGAAAUCUACUUUAAUGAAUCCAGGGGACCAAUUUGUAAUCAGCCCAUCAGAUGUUCAGCGACACUUAGCUGGAAUCUCGUUGCUGGACUCUGUGCCCCGCAGUGGAUGACAGUUCUCCAUCAGGGUCUGCAGUCCUCUACCCUGGACUUGCUGCAUCCUGGAGCCCCCAGCAGUCAGGUACCGGCUCUCAGAACUGCCUGCAUCCCAUUGGCCUGAGCUGCUGUCUGCCAGGGCUGCUGGUAACCAGGCCCACAGGGUUGGAUAUUCCCCCAACAGGGCAGCUCCCAGUCCAAGCCCAACUGUUACCAGCCCAGAAAGAUGUUUCAGGAUACCCCUUUCCUCCCCACUUCCCUGCCCUCUGCAGCUCCAGCUGGUGCACCCCAUCUUUCUCUCCCCCUCCCUGCUAGGCUGGGCCCUAACAGGAGACCUUUGAGGUGGUUGGGCUUGUUCUGCAACCUUGAGUACCCUUGAGCUACUGCCUCACUCCUCAGUUUUCUUCUUCUUAAGGUUUCUAAUUGGACUUUGCCAGUGUAUUUAUUUCAAAACUGGUCAUCUUACUGACCUCGCUCAUAGUCUCUUAUUACUUUUCUAGUUGAUUCUCUUGAGUUUUCUGGAUAAACAAUAAUAUCAUGUACAAAUAAUGAUGACAAUUUCUCCUCCUUUCCAAA